rnacentral:rRNA from 1 species
AUACGAAGGGUGCUAGCGUGUUCGGAAUUACUGGGCGUAAAGAGCAUGUAGGCGGAUAGAUUAGUCAGGGGUGAAAGCCCCGAGCCCAACUCGGGAACUGCCUUUGAUACUGUUUAUCUAGAGACCGAGAGAGGUGAGUGGAAUUCUCAGUGUAGAGGUGAAAUUCGUAGAUAUUGGGAAGAACACCAGUGGCGAAGGCGGCUCACUGGCUCGGAACUGACGCUGAGAUGCGAAAGCGUGGGGAGCGAACAGGAUUAGAAACCCCAGUAGUCC